rnacentral:rRNA from 1 species
AGCAAGGUCUCCGUUGGUGAACCAGCGGAGGGAUCAUUACCGAGUUUACAACUCCCAAACCCCUGUGAACAUACCACUUGUUGCCUCGGCGGAUCAGCCCGCUCCCGGUAAAACGGGACGGCCCGCCAGAGGACCCCUAAACUCUGUUUCUAUAUGUAACUUCUGAGUAAAACCAUAAAUAAAUCAAAACUUUCAACAACGGAUCUCUUGGUUCUGGCAUCGAUGAAGAACGCAGCAAAAUGCGAUAAGUAAUGUGAAUUGCAGAAUUCAGUGAAUCAUCGAAUCUUUGAACGCACAUUGCGCCCGCCAGUAUUCUGGCGGGCAUGCCUGUUCGAGCGUCAUUUCAACCCUCAAGCAUAGCUUGGUGUUGGGACUCGCGUUAAUUCGCGUUCCCCAAAUUGAUUGGCGGUCACGUCGAGCUUCCAUAGCGUAGUAGUAAAACCCUCGUUACUGGUAAUCGUCGCGGCCACGCCGUUAAACCCCAACUUCUGAAUGUUGACCUCGGAUCAGGUAGGAAUACCCGCUGAACUUAAGCAUAUCAAUAAGCG